GGGCUCGCGAGGCGGCCGCUCUAUGGUCGGCGCCGCUCCUCGUUCCCCUAGGCGAGCCGCCGCGGCCAUAGAGGCGCGGCGGUGGCUAGAGCGGCAGCUGUCGCCGUGGCAACGCGGCCUGCCGGAGGUAYUUAUUGGUUUAAUGUUGAUAGUGGGUGUCAGCCACAUGUAGGGAACAGGUAACCUGGUAGGUGGUUAGGGGAGAGUGAAGGGGGUUUUUGCACAGAAGAGAAACUUGUGUGUUAUGGUGCAGGUGGUUAACUAUUUGCAGCCUCCAAAUGCAGAUAAUACGAGCAGAUAUGUGAUGUCUGGGUCUCCAGGGCCUGUGGUCAGUGUGGCGGUGCGCAGACAGGUGUCUGGGUGCCUCCACUGUGCUCCUGUGCUGUCCAUCCUGAACCAGCCCGCCCUUUGGGAUGCAGUUUGCAGGGUCUUCUCCAAGUGUGACAGAACAGCCAAGAGCUCCUUCUUUGCCACUGUCCACGUGAGGUUCCUCUCCGCAUUUCACAGCCAGCAGAGUAAUCCCUUUGACUUUUGUAUAGGCCUUUCUGUCUGACAACAUGUCCCUGCAUCUUUUGGACGUGCUGACACAAGUGCUCCAAUUGCCAGUACAUCAGAACCUCRCUUGCAUCCUGGACCAGCCGCAGAAGACGCUCCCGGCUCUCUCGCUUGGUCGCGUGAAUCACGGGGCGGACGUCACGGGACAGCAGCGACCUGCAGCAUCUCCGGCACGCGCUGUGCUUCCGAGGAGAAGGGGUGACACGUUUGUGUGAGCAGUGUGAGCGCGAUGCUCUGCGGCAUCCUUCCAAGAUGUGCCCUUUGUUUCCUCGCUGGCACUCGCAUAAUGAAAUCUCAUAUUCUGCUGAAAGCUAAUUACACAAGGGUUAAUUGGGAUCUCCAGUGUGGGUGUCCCGGAAGUAUGAUGUUAGACAAAAAUACCUGGCAAAGGGUUUUGAAACAAUUGAGUAAUUUUUCAUUGAAUUGAUCUAAUUUUACUGGAGAUUGACAUUGUCCUUCUGUUUUUCUUCACUGGUACCCAAGCAGAGCGGGUAU
rnacentral:lncRNA from 1 species